CAAAAAGAGCUAGGCACCCCCGCACAAGGCUCCUAGGCUGUCAAGGCCUAACCUGCCCAACCUCAGCCCUCCUCAAAGUGCCUGCCACAUCCAGUCCCAUUGCACAGCUCCUUGCUCCUCCCCAUGGGAUACCAGGUGUUUUCAUGCCCUCGGGCCCUCUGAGUGCCUGCCCCUCCUCAGAGUAUUAAACCCCUCUAGGAGGUAUUAGUGCUGCUGACUUCAACCUGAGCCUGCCCAGCCCUGAGCCACUCCAUCCUGCCAUCAGCACCCCUAGUCUUGGCUUCUUCACCCACCAUUUUGUUCAUACCUUCAUUCCAGCAACUCAUGGAGACUUCAGGAGAUGCUGCCUCCAACAGAUUAUGCUCCAGUAAAGGUGAUUCUGCCUCAGUCGACCAAAUAAUUCAUCAGUCAGGAGUCAGGAUGAGCGUCAAAGGCCUGCAACAAUAGGAGACUUGAUUCCAGACCCAAACUGCAGACCUAAUUCCAGAAAAAUGGAGAUAAAUUAAUGCAGGAAAGGGAGGUUGCAGCUGAUUUGUGGUGGGGCCUGGAUUUAAACACCUACAUGUCUGAGACUAAAUCCUGGGCUUGUUCCCACACACAGCACCGGUGAGCAUGAAACAGACACCACAGAACAAUGCAGAAUCAGCCCUACAAGUCUGUUGUGUGUGAAACCAAAGGGUAUCUGGGACCUGGGAAGGUAACCUGGGAAGGUAAACUGGGAAGGGGAUGGGUGGCGAAAUGAAUGAAGGAAGGUAAAACAAGAUUGGCCAUGUGUUCAUAAUGAUUGAGGUGAAAGAGAGCUGAUCCCAGCAUUCAGAGUAUGAUCCUAUUUGUGUACAUUUUUGGAAUUUUCCAUAAUACAAAAUAAUUGAUUUUAAAUGUGCCAUGUUAACAGUCAGAACACACCAUUUCCCUGGUCUUUCUAGCCACUAAACAGAUGCUCUUGGGUUUUGUGCUUACUUUUGCUUAUAAAACUGAGCAUUUCGUUUAACAAAGAAUCUUCACACUGUUCUAGGAAUUUGCUUCUGUAUUGGGUAAGCACACACAUUAGGCACAGUUCCAUCAAAGAGAACGUUUUCAGGAACUUCUUGUUAUAUGAAGUAAGAGAUGUGAGAUAAAGCCUUUCCUCAUUUUAAUGUUAAGUGAAAAAAGCAGGAUGUAAAACCACAUUUGAAUCAUAAAAUGAAUUUUAUUUAAAUACAUACAUACAAAAAGAAAUGCAAAAAGUAAUAACUGUGGAAUCAAUUCGCUGAUUUCACAAACUUGGCGUUGAACAUGUAUUCGUUUUAAGAGAAGAAAAAUAUCUUAAAAGAAGUUUGUUUAUGGACUUCAGGGACACAGAAGUGGAUUAAUCAAUAACUUUGGUCUAUAACACUCUGUCAUUGGUCUGUCGUCAUUGGUCUGGCAGUGCUUUCUCAAUUAUUAAUGACAGUUACUAAUAAUAGAAUAAUGAUCACGUGCCAGGCAAUGCAUAACUUAUUUCUAGCCUUUACAACAAUUCUGAAAAUCAGAUGUUUUUAAUUCCCAUUUUGUUCAUUAAAAAAAAAAAAAAAAAGACUCAAAGGACUUAAAAAAAACUUGACCAGGGUACACAAUGAUUUUGAACUCAUGUUUGCUGACUCCAAAGCCUGUCGGGAUCCACCGCCCCUUGCAAUCCCCUCUUAAGCAUUUACAUUCUGGAGUGGAGAAAGGGCGCUAGAAGCCAACCCUAGAAGAGAAUGACUAGAGGUUUAUGUUUCUGACUGCGGCUUGGGUUUCCUCUGCCCUUUCCUGAUUCAUAUUGCCCAGUUGUCCUGAUCUGGCCAGAAUGGAGCUGAUUAAUCACCAUCUGGACAAGAAGACAGGCUAGGCUGUUCUUCCAUGCUAAGCUGAGAAACUGAAUCCUGGUACCCUGAUUUACACAUGAAUUGGUCACUUCUGAUUUAUACUGUAAUGUGGCUAUUCUCUCAAAAUAACAUUCAUACAACUAUUUGCCUAUGAUUUAGUUAUGGGCCUUAGAAGGGAGAAGCCUUCCCAUAAAACGCUCUUUCCUUUAGGGGAAAUAGGCCCAGAUCACC
rnacentral:lncRNA from 1 species